rnacentral:rRNA from 1 species
GUAGGUGGCAAGCGUUGUCCGGAAUUAUUGGGCGUAAAGCGCGCGCAGGCGGUUCUUUAAGUCUGAUGUGAAAGCCCACGGCUCAACCGUGGAGGGUCAUUGGAAACUGGGGAACUUGGGUACAGAAGAGGAAAGCGGAAUUCCACGUGUAGCGGUGAAAUGCGUAGAGAUGUGGAGGAACACCAGUGGCGAAGGCGGCUUUCUGGUCUGUAACUGACGCUGAGGCGCGAAAGCGUGGGGAGCAAACAGGGAUUAGAUACCCUGGUAGUCCACGCCGUAAACGAUGAGUGCUAAGUGUUAGGGGGUUUCCCGCCCCUUAGUGCUGCAGCUAACGCAUUAAGCACUCCGCCUGGGGAGUACGGCCGCAAGGCUG